rnacentral:tRNA from 1 species
GCCUGGCUAACUCAGUCAGUAGAGCAUAAGACUCUUAAUUUCAGGGUCAUGGGUUCGUGUCCUAUGUUGGGUG